AUUGAACGCUGGCGGAAUGCUACACAUGCAAGUCGAACGGCAGCACGGGGGCAACCCUGGUGGCGAGUGGCGAACGGGUGAGUAAUACAUCGGAACGUGCCCAGUCGUGGGGGAUAACGUAGCGAAAGUUACGCUAAUACCGCAUACGAUCUACGGAUGAAAGCGGGGGACCGUAAGGCCUCGCGCGAUUGGAGCGGCCGAUGUCAGAUUAGGUAGUUGGUGAGGUAAAGGCUCACCAAGCCGACGAUCUGUAGCUGGUCUGAGAGGACGACCAGCCACACUGGGACUGAGACACGGCCCAGACUCCUACGGGAGGCAGCAGUGGGGAAUUUUGGACAAUGGGCGCAAGCCUGAUCCAGCCAUUCCGCGUGCAGGACGAAGGCCUUCGGGUUGUAAACUGCUUUUGUACGGAACGAAAAGGCUCUGGUUAAUACCUGGGGCUCAUGACGGUACCGUAAGAAUAAGCACCGGCUAACUACGUGCCAGCCGCCGCGGUAA
rnacentral:rRNA from 1 species